rnacentral:lncRNA from 1 species
CAGCUACCCUGAGGCCGUGGACUGCAGCUGCACUCCAGUCUUUAAGCCCAGCUGUGCUCGGGUGUCUCACUUUCUACACCCCACCCUCAGCAUCAGAUAUACUCUAUCUCAGAAGCAAAAAGCCAUCCAUGAACAAAGACCUGGGACCAAGCCGACUCAUAAUACUAGUGGGAAACGGCCCCACCAGCAGCCCGCACCUGCAUCCUGCUCUCCCGCUGCCUCACUGGACCCUUGCAGUUAACUGGGACUUCAGCAGAGCAGAGCCUCAUCUUACGGAGGUCAAGUGUCCCACUGCUGCAGGGCCUUCAACCUGGGUGAGACGUGGCCAGGGUGAGGAGAGGGCGGGAUGUGGGCACAUAGCCCAGUACUCUUUCCCAGGCAUCUGCCAUCUGGGGCCAGUGGGUCACACGAGCCUCCCAGCCCACACCACAGCAGCCAUGUCUCAUGCUCCCUCACCAUGCGGGUCCGC